UACGUAGGGGCCUAGCGUUGUCCGGAAUUAUUGGGCGUAAAGAGCUCGUAGGCGGUUCGGCAAGUCGGAUGUGAAAUCUCCACGCUUAACGUGGAGGGGCCAUUCGAAACUGCUGUGACUCGAGUCCGGUAGGGGAGUGUGGAAUUCCCGGUGUAGCGGUGAAAUGCGCAGAUAUCGGGAGGAACACCAGUGCGAAGGCGGCACACUGGCCGGUACUGACGCUGAG
rnacentral:rRNA from 1 species